GCCUGCCUCAGCCUCAGCCCUGCACACCGUGCUCAACCCUCAUUCACCCCAAGAACCAGCGAGCUGGGGAGCUGCAGCGUGAUUGAUGGGCCCCAGCUUGAAUGGAAAGUCCAGAUCCCAGGGAGACAGCUUAAGAGACACAGAGCACAGCGGGAAGUGAAACCACCCACGGGAAUCCAGCAACAGAAACGUCCCCACACCGGGCAGCCAGCGAUGGCAGAUGGAGUCAGGCCAGACAGAGACUGGAUGGUCACCAAAAGUCAUGGGCACGGGGAAGUCCGGCGCUGGAGGGAGGACAGUAAAGCAACCUCUUCCUAAAGAUGCAGACCCGGGAGAAGUCUGUGGCACAGAUAGGAGGGGUGAUUUGCCCAAGGUCCCACAACUAAAAAGCGGCUGAACAUCUUUGUCUUCUUAACCAACUUCCUAUAUCCACCAAAGAGCGUGAGACCUCCAUGACACAUUUCCGUAGUUGGGUGCUUCAUUCCUGUACAUCAUCUUAUGAUAUCAUCAGCAAUGACAACUCUAUGAGACAGGACCCGCAGACUGGCCUGGACAUGGCUCCUCUCAUGGCAAUGAAAGCACAAGUGGAAAUCCUGGAGGUUUAAUGGGACAAGCGAAUUACAUGGCCAAGCCCGAAGGCAAAAGGCUGGGAAAAAGGACCUGCAAAGUUACUGGGCAAAGACUGCUGAGACAGUAAAAGGAUGCAGAAUCGGGGCCAAAAACACAAUCUACCAUAUUCUCUCCCUUCCCCAAAUCUUCCCCCACAGACCUUUGACAUGGCUUACAAUCCCGCUCUUAAGACUAUGUCUUUGCAUUCACAUAGUGUCUGCAUAAGGUCCUUGGGAAGGGGAGGACAUUACGCCCAGCUCCUUAACCCUCCAGCAGCAUUUGCGGUUCGCAGACAAAAGGGG